rfam:Triticum aestivum genome assembly, contig: Triticum_aestivum_CS42_TGACv1_scaffold_031206_1BL
GUUGGUGCAGUGAUUAUAAAACAUUCCUCGUACUGAUGGGAAAUCCCCGUGAACGACAACUAUAGACCCAUAGAAUCUGAGCACCA